rnacentral:rRNA from 1 species
CAAAGUUGCCGCCGCGCUAAUACAUGCAAGUCGAACGAUGAAGCCUUUCGGGGUGGAUUAGUGGCGAACGGGUGAGUAACACGUGGGCAAUCUGCCCUUCACUCUGGGACAAGCCCUGGAAACGGGGUCUAAUACCGGAUAAUACUUCUGCCUGCAUGGGUGGGGGUUGAAAGCUCCGGCGGUGAAGGAUGAGCCCGCGGCCUAUCAGCUUGUUGGUGGGGUAAUGGCCUACCAAGGCGACGACGGGUAGCCGGCCUGAGAGGGCGACCGGCCACACUGGGACUGAGACACGGCCCAGACUCCUACGGGAGGCAGCAGUGGGGAAUAUUGCACAAUGGGCGAAAGCCUGAUGCAGCGACGCCGCGUGAGGGAUGACGGCCUUCGGGUUGUAAACCUCUUUCAGCAGGGAAGAAGCGCAAGUGACGGUACCUGCAGAAGAAGCGCCGGCUAACUACGUGCCAGCAGCCGCGGUAAUACGUAGGGCGCAAGCGUUGUCCGGAAUUAUUGGGCGUAAAGAGCUCGUAGGCGGCUUGUCACGUCGGAUGUGAAAGCCCGGGGCUUAACCCCGGGUCUGCAUUCGAUACGGGCUAGCUAGAGUGUGGUAGGGGAGAUCGGAAUUCCUGGUGUAGCGGUGAAAUGCGCAGAUAUCAGGAGGAACACCGGUGGCGAAGGCGGAUCUCUGGGCCAUUACUGACGCUGAGGAGCGAAAGCGUGGGGAGCGAACAGGAUUAGAUACCCUGGUAGUCCACGCCGUAAACGUUGGGAACUAGGUGUUGGCGACAUUCCACGUCGUCGGUGCCGCAGCUAACGCAUUAAGUUCCCCGCCUGGGGAGUACGGCCGCAAGGCUAAAACUCAAGGAAUUGACGGGGCCCGCACAAGCAGCGGAGCAUGUGGCUUAAUUCGACGCACGCGAAGAACCUUACCAAGGCUUGACAUAUACCGGCAAAGCAUCAGAGAUGGUGCCCCCCUUGUGUCGGUAUACAGUGGUGCAUGGCUGUCGUCAGCUCGUGUCGUGAGAAUGUUGGGUUAAGUCCCGCAACGAAGCGCAAUCCC